AACGAACGCUGGCGGCAUGCCUAACACAUGCAAGUCGAACGGCAGCGCGACCCGCAAGGGUUGGCGGCGAGUGGCGGACGGGUGAGGAAUGCAUCGGAAUCUACCCUGUCGUGGGGGAUAACCAACCGAAAGGUUGGCUAAUACCGCAUACGACCGAGAGGUGAAAGCGGAGGACCGAAAGGCUUCGCGCGAUUGGAUGAGCCGAUGCCGGAUUAGCUAGUUGGCGGGGUAAGAGCCCACCAAGGCGACGGUCCGUAGCUGGUCUGAGAGGAUGAUCAGCCACACUGGGGCUGAGACACGGCCCAGACUCCUACGGGAGGGAGCAGUGGGGAAUAUUGGACAAUGGGCGCAAGCCUGAUCCAGCAAUGCCGCGUGUGUGAAGAAGGCCUUCGGGUUGUAAAGCACUUUUAUCGGGAGCGAAAAGCGACUGGCUAAUACCCGGUCGUGCUGACGGUACCCGAUGAAUAAGCACCGGCUAACUUCGUGCCAGCCGCCGCGGUAAGAC
rnacentral:rRNA from 1 species